rnacentral:rRNA from 1 species
GACGAACGCUGGCGGCGUGCUUAACACAUGCAAGUCGAGCGGUAAGGCCCUUUCGGGGGUACACGAGCGGCGAACGGGUGAGUAACACGUGGGUGACCUGCCCUCAGCUCUGGGAUAAGCCUGGGAAACCGGGUCUAAUACCGGAUAUGACUCCAUGACGCAUGUUGUGGGGUGGAAAGCCUUGUGCGGCUGAGGAUGGGCCCGCGGCCUAUCAGCUUGUUGGUGGGGUGAUGGCCUACCAAGGCGACGACGGGUAGCCGGCCUGAGAGGGCGACCGGCCGACACUGGGACUGAGACACGGCCCAGACUCCUACGGGAGGCAGCAGUGGGGAAUCUUGCGCAAUGGGCGAAAGCCUGACGCAGCGACGCCGCGUGAGGGAUGACGGCCU